AGGAAACUGUAGGACUCACUGAACUUGAGCAGAUAUUUGGACUGACAAAAUAUAAUAUUGAGGAACCGCCUUUACUAAUGCAGGUCCGUUUGUUCUACAAUGGUUGUGCUGCCAAGGGAACCCUUCUUGUAAAAAAAAAUCUUCCUCCUGGAACAAUUCAGAUACGGCACUCAAUGAUAAAAGUUGAGCAAGAUAAAGAACU